rnacentral:rRNA from 1 species
UGGGGAAUUUUGGACAAUGGGCGAAAGCCUGAUCCAGCAAUGCCGCGUGUGUGAAGAAGGCCUUCGGGUUGUAAAGCACUUUUGUCCGGAAAGAAAUCCUUGGCUCUAAUACAGUCGGGGGAUGACGGUACCGGAAGAAUAAGCACCGGCUAACUACGUGCCAGCAGCCGCGGUAAUACGUAGGGUGCAAGCGUUAAUCGGAAUUACUGGGCGUAAAGCGUGCGCAGGCGGUUUGCUAAGACCGAUGUGAAAUCCCCGGGCUCAACCUGGGAACUGCAUUGGUGACUGGCAGGCUAGAGUAUGGCAGAGGGGGGUAGAAUUCCACGUGUAGCAGUGAAAUGCGUAGAGAUGUGGAGGAAUACCGAUGGCGAAGGCAGCCCCCUGGGCCAAUACUGACGCUCAUGCACGAAAGCGUGGGGAGCAAACAGGAUUAGAUACCCUGGUAGUCCACGCCCUAAACGAUGUCAACUAGUUGUUGGGGAUUCAUUCCUUAGUAACGUAGCUAACGCGUGAAGUUGACCGCCUGGGGAGUACGGUCGCAAGAUUAAAACUUAAAUGAAUUGACGGGGUC